CGUCACGACGCCCGGGUCAGGGCCCGGGCGCGGCUCGGAGCCAGGUCGUCGCUAUAGCAAUCGGGAAUCUCUACCUGUCCCUUCCAAGGAUUCGGUCCACCUGAAGCGUGAGGAGGUGGCGGAGGCCCCAAGGGCUCUGCGCUGUCACUUCCGCGGCCUGCGGGCGAGAAGGUGCGCUUCGGGAGUAGCGCGGGAGGACAGGAGGCGCAGGUUGUGAGGGACGCAGGCCGGGGCUUCCGUCUCUGUCCUCCGAGCUCAGAGCCCCCAGGCUUCUUCCCGGCCGCGCGCUCAGCACUCACUGUCUUACGGUCCCGAAGCGCUUUAAGGUGCGCAGUCCGCAGGCCUUGCCUACUGAUCUUCGAGCCACCCCUUGAAGGAAGCAGUUGCAGACGCUGAGCACAGUGCCAAACCUAGAUAGAAACUCAUUUGGGAUAUGGAGGAGAAUAUGCCACCAGUUCUCCAAAGUAGAGGGGUGCAAACGGCAUUUGGCAUCCUUGAUCUUGAAGGAGGCCCGUUGUUUAAUGGACAGCACUGCAGCCUCUAGAGGGAUGGUAGAAACUCAGCACAGUAUGGGAUGCCCAUGGAGGUCAGAGGUGCCAUGGGGGAUGUUGAGAAGCUGGGCAAUAAGCCAGGGGCUUGGCUGGGGGAGUGAGAUUAUGAAAGCCAAGGGGAUCAGAUGUUAGGGCAGAGGGAGUGAGGGUGCAGGGGUGGAGAAUUACAGGGCAAAAAAGAGGAUCCAGGAGAAAGGAAGGCCAGGGGAUUGAUGAAGAACAAAAAUAAGGGAUUAAUGUUAAGAGAGUAGGGUGGGAACAGGGCUUCUGGGCUGGUGCUCACCAUGGCAGUGGUUGGAGUUCGUGCUGUUCCCAUUGUGGCCAGCUCGGGCUGGAGCAGUCCUGGGGCUGGGGGUCCCACAGCUCACCGUGAAGCCAUUCUCAGACUCUGAGAGAAAGAGCCUGUCACAGUUCUGACCUGCCUUCCCAACCCCCACUGGCUGGAGGAAUCCAAAGGGAACGAAGGAGCUGCCUGAAUGGCCAGUCCUUCCUCUUCUCCUCCAAAGCUCUCCAGCACCCUCCUCCCAUGUACCUGGCAAAAACCGGGCCAU